rnacentral:rRNA from 1 species
CGGUGGACUCAAGACUGCAAUCGCGUGUCGCCCUUAGAGUUUGAUCCUGGCUCAGGACAAACGCUGGCGGGGUGCGUGAGACAUGCAAGUCGAACGGGGUUGAACGAGCUUGCUCGAUCAACCUAGUGGCGGACGGCUGAGUAACGCGUAGGUGACCUGCCCGGAAGUGGGGAAUAACUGCCCGAAAGGGUGGCUAAUACCGCAUGUGGUCGUCGAAUCGGUUCGCCGACUAAAGGAGUAAUCCGCUUCCGGAGGGGCCUGCGUCCGAUUAGCUAGUUGGUGAGGUAACGGCCCACCAAGGCGACGAUCGGUAGCUGGUCUGAGAGGAUGAUCAGCCAGACUGGGACUGAGAACGGCCCAGACUCCUACGGGAGGCAGCAGUCGGGAAUUUUGCCCAAUGGACGAAAGUCUGAGGCAGCAACUCCGCGUGAGGGAUGAAGGCCUUCGGGUUGUAAACCUCUUUUCUCAGGGAAGAUACAAGACGGUACCUGAGGAAUAAGCCACGGCUAACUACGUGCCAGCAGCCGCGGUAAUACGUAGGUGGCGAGCGUUGUCCGGAUUUACUGGGCGUAAAGAGCGCGCAGGCGGCUGGGCAAGUCCGAUGUGAAAGCUUCCGGCUUAACUGGAAAACAGCAUCGGAAACUGUUCAGCUUGAAGGUGGGAGAGGGGUAGCGGAAUUCCCGGUGUAGUGGUGAAAUGCGUAGAUAUCGGGAGGAACACCAGUGGCGAAGGCGGCUACCUGGCCCAUUCUUGACGCUGAGGCGCGAAAGCUAGGGGAGCAAACGGGAUUAGAUACCCCGGUAGUCCUAGCCGUAAACGAUGAACACUAGGCGUAGUCGGUAUCGACCCCGGCUGUGCCGUAGCUAACGCAUUAAGUGUUCCGCCUGGGGAGUACGGCCGCAAGGCUAAAACUCAAAGGAAUUGACGGGGGCCCGCACAAGCAGCGGAGCGUGUGGUUUAAUUCGUCGGUACGCGAAGAACCUUACCAGGGCUUGACAUGUACCGGAAAGCGGCGGAAACGUCGUCCUCCCGCAAGGGACCGGUAUGCAGGUGUUGCAUGGCUGUCGUCAGCCCGUGUCGUGAGAUGUUGGGUUAAGUCCCGCAACGAGCGCCACCCCCGUGGCAUGUUGUACCACUCAUGCCAGACUGCCGAGAGAAACUCGGAGGAAGGUGGGGAUGAAGUCAAGUCAGCAUGGCCCUUACGCCCUGGGCUACACACACGCUACAAUGGCCGGUACAACGGGUUGCCAAACCGCGAGGUGGAGCUAAUCCCAUAAAGCCGGUCUCAGUUCGGAUUGCAGGCUGCAACUCGCCUGCAUGAAGCUGGAGUUGCUAGUAACCGCAGGUCAGCACACUGCGGUGAAUAUGUUCCCGGGCCUUGUACACACCGCCCGUCACGUCAUGAAAGCCGAUAACACCCGAAGCCGGUGGGCCAACCGCAAGGAGGCAGCCGUCGAAGGUGGGAUUGGUGAUUGGGACGAAGUCGUAACAAGGUAACCAAGGGCGACACGCGAUUGCAGUGUAACACGAGUGAUCCUGAGUUCAGAUCAACCUGCACC